rnacentral:rRNA from 1 species
UACGUAGGUGGCAAGCGUUGUCCGGAUUUACUGGGUGUAAAGGGCGUGCAGCCGGAGAGACAAGUCAGAUGUGAAAUCCACGGGCUCAACCCGUGAACUGCAUUUGAAACUGUUUCCCUUGAGUGUCGGAGAGGUAAUCGGAAUUCCUAGUGUAGCGGUGAAAUGCGUAGAUAUUAGGAAGAACACCAGUGGCGAAGGCGGAUUACUGGACGAUAACUGACGGUGAGGCGCGAAAGCGUGGGGAGCAA